GUCCUGCCUCUUCUGGUUGAGGCCACGCCCCCUGCUCAGGACUCUGGCAUACUGCAUACAGAACAGCAUUCCUUUGGGAGACCUGGUAAACAAGAUAUGAACUUCUAUGAGAACAGAAACUUACAGUUGAUAAGAGAUACUACUGAAUCUUCUUCUGCACUCUGCACUACAGAG